UACACAAAAAAGAAAUUUGGGGGGGCCCCCCCCCAAAAGGGGGGGGGGCAUUGUGGUUUUUUUUUAAAGCAACCGGGAAAAACCCUUUCCGGGUUUUUUACACUCCCGGGGGCGGGGGGGCAAAGUUCCUUUUUCCUUUUGGGCCAUUUGAACAAGGGGGGGCAAUGGUUUUCUCAGCUCCGUUCGUAAAAAUUUUGGUUAAGUCCCCGCAACGGAGGGCACCCCCUAUUUCCAGUAGCAAGCAGAAAGAUGGGGAACUUUGAAGAGACUGCCCGGGGAUACUUGGGAGGAAGGCGGGGGAUGACGUCAANUCAUCAUGCCCCUUAUGAUCAGGGCUACACACGUGCUACAAUGGCGUAAACAAAGGGAAGCGAAGUGGUGACACGAAGCAAAUCCGAAAAACAACGUCUCAGUUCGGAUUGUAGUCUGCAACUCGACUACAUGAAGCUGGAAUCGCUAGUAAUCGCGAAUCAGAAUGUCGCGGUGAAUACGUUCCCGGGUCUUGUACACACCGCCCGUCACACCAUGGGAGUCGGAAAUGCCCGAAGUCAGUGACCCAACCGAGAGGAGGGAGCUGCCGAAGGUGGAGCCGGUAACUGGGGUGAAGUCGUAACAAGG
rnacentral:rRNA from 1 species